GAUGAAGAACGUAGCGAAAUGCGAUAAGUAAUGUGAAUUGCAGAAUUCAGUGAAUCAUCGAAUCUUUGAACGCACCUUGCGCCCUUUGGCCAUUCCGAAGGGCAUGCCUGUUUGAGUAUCAUGAACACCUCAACUCUUCAUGGUUUUCCAUGAUGAGCUUGGACUUUGGGGGUCUUGCUGGCCUGUGGGUCGGCUCCUCUCAAAUGAAUCAUCUUGCCGGUUUUUGGUGGGCAUCACAGGUGUGAUAACUAUCUACGCUUGUGGUUUUCCACCAGGGUAACCUUCAGCAGUGGAGGUUCACUGGAGCUUACAAAUGUCUCUCCUCUGUGAGGACAGCCCUUUGAAUGUUUGAUCUCAAAUCAGGUAGGACUACCCGCUGAACUUAAGCAUAUCAAUAAGCGGAGGA
rnacentral:misc_RNA from 1 species